AUUGAACGCUGGCGGCAUGCUUUACACAUGCAAGUCGAACGAGUGGCGCACGGGUGAGUAAUACAUCGGAACGUGUCCUAUCGUGGGGGAUAACUGAUCGAAAGAUCAGCUAAUACCGCAUACGAUUGGAGCGGCCGAUGCCCGAUUAGCUAGUUGGUGAGGUAAAGGCUCACCAAGGCGACGAUCGGUAGCUGGUCUGAGAGGACGACCAGCCACACUGGGACUGAGACACGGCCCAGACUCCUACGGGAGGCAGCAGUGGGGAAUUUUGGACAAUGGGGGCAACCCUGAUCCAGCCAUGCCGCGUGCAGGAUGAAGGUCUUCGGAUUGUAAAGCUCUGUUAAUCGGGACGCGGUACCGGAAUAGAAAGCCACGGCUAACUACGUGCCAGCAGCCGCGGUAAUAC
rnacentral:rRNA from 1 species